GACGAACGCUGGCGGCGUGCUUAACACAUGCAAGUCGAACGGAAAGGCCCUGCUUUUGUGGGGUGCUCGAGUGGCGAACGGGUGAGUAACACGUGAGUAACCUGCCCUUGACUUUGGGAUAACUUCAGGAAACUGGGGCUAAUACCGGAUAGGAGCUCCUGCUGCAUGGUGGGGGGUGGAAAGUUUCGGCGGUUGGGGAUGGACUCGCGGCUUAUCAGCUUGGUGGUGGGGUAGUGGCUUACCAAGGCUUUGACGGGUAGCCGGCCUGAGAGGGUGACCGGCCACAUUGGGACUGAGAUACGGCCCAGACUCCUACGGGAGGCAGCAGUGGGGAAUAUUGCACAAUGGGCGGAAGCCUGAUGCAGCAACGCCGCGUGCGGGAUGACGGCCUUCGGGUUGUAAACCGCUUUCGCCUGUGACGAAGCGUGAGUGACGGUAAUGGGUAAAGAAGCACCGGCUAACUACGUG
rnacentral:rRNA from 1 species